UUUUGUUCGGUUUUCACAGGUGUUCGGAUUGUAGAGGUAAACUGAAGUCGACAACAAAUAAUUUUGGCAUAUACUGACAAGGGAUAAUAGGUGACAAACAGACGACAGUUUUUUUUUUGUGUUGAUUUAGAUGUAAAUGUAAAUCAAACGCCACUCCGUCAAUCACGCUCGUCGUUGGGAGAUGUCCGACGUGGAGCGAUUUUGCUUUUUAUAAUUAUUUUCUCAUCCGUUAAUACACUGACCAAUUCAGAUUCACAGUCAAUGUCAAAUGACGAUUCCGUAGUUGAAUCGGGAACAUCAUUGUACACACGAGUUCUCGGACUAAACUGGUAACCCGCUGAUUGAUACUUCGGCACACGAUAACAGUGAAACAAGCAGGGGUCCAGUUUAUUCUCGGACUUUAUCGUUGCCAAAUAGCUAACGGAAGUCUUCGGGGGCAUUCGAAUCAAAUAUAUAGGGCCUAUAAAGGGAAUCAAGAAAUCGAAAUCCAUUGACCUUGUUGUGUUGCACGACUUUUUAAUCCGGUGAAAGGCUUUAAAACUAUUAUUUAAUUAAACAGUUUAGCUACAGAAUGGCAGUUUCGAUUUUGUGGCCGUAAUUAUUUGAGUAAGGUGCAUUUAAUUGAUCUAAGGGAAAGUUCUUUUCUCGUCAUUAUCGGCGAUGGGGGUAGCUGACCAGUUUAACGUUUCUGUACAAAAAAUCACUUUAUACAUAGACACAGACAUGCUAAUUAGUUUGUAAUAACAACUCACAAGUUCAUUAAACCUCAAAUACCUUCGGGGAUACUUUGCCAUCCUGUGUUUGUUUAAUUAAAUCAUGCAAAUAAUUAAUAAUAUUUUAUUGUUUUGAUUGGUAUUGAUCGAUUUUGACAGGUAAUUUUUAGAUAAUAAUUUACUAACGAGCCUUCAAAAAGCGUUCGGAAUUCGGUGUUGACAGGGUUCGGUUUUUUCAGGUUAAAUUAACGUUAAUUGAUAGGGAAAUUUUGUGGGACUUUGAAAAUUGUUCGGUUUAAACUGAAAUUCGGUUUUAUCAGGGUUCGGUUUACCCAGGUUUCACUGUAUUAACAUUACGGAGUU
rnacentral:lncRNA from 1 species